CAGCAGCCACGGUAAUACAGAGGGUGCGAGCGUUAAUCGGAUUUACUGGGCGUAAAGCGUGCGUAGGCGGCUUUUUAAGUCGGAUGUGAAAUCCCUGAGCUUAACUUAGGAAUUGCAUUCGAUACUGGGAAGCUAGAGUAUGGGAGAGGAUGGUAGAAUUCCAGGUGUAGCGGUGAAAUGCGUAGAGAUCUGGAGGAAUACCGAUGGCGAAGGCAGCCAUCUGGCCUAAUACUGACGCUGAGGUACGAAAGCAUGGGGAGCAAACAGGAUUAGAUACCCCCGUAGUCCCUGUCUCUUAUAC
rnacentral:rRNA from 1 species